rnacentral:rRNA from 1 species
CGGCGGACGGGUGAGUAACACGUGGAUAACCUACCUAUAAGACUGGGAUAACCUCGGGAAACCGGAGCUAAUACCGGAUAAUAUAUUGAACCGCAUGGUUCAAUAGUUAAAGACGGUUUUGCUGUCACUUAUAGAUGGAUCCGCGCCGCAUUAGCUAGUUGGUAAGGUAACGGCUUACCAAGGCAACGAUGCGUAGCCGACCUGAGAGGGUGAUCGGCCACACUGGAACUGAGACACGGUCCAGACUCCUACGGGAGGCAGCAGCC